rnacentral:rRNA from 1 species
UGUGAAGAUGCAGUGUACCCGCGGCUAGACGGAAAGACCCCGUGAACCUUUACUACAGCUUGGCACUGAACAUUGACCCUACAUGUGUAGGAUAGGUGGGAGGCUUUGAAGUGCAGUCGCUAGAUUGCGUGGAGCCGUCCUUGAAAUACCACCCUUGUAGUGUUGAUGUUCUAACGUCGACCCCUUAUCGGGGUUGCGGACAGUGCCUGGUGGGUAGUUUGAC